rnacentral:rRNA from 1 species
UAUUGCACAAUGGGGGAAACCCUGAUGCAGCUACGCCGCGUGAGUGAAGAAGGUCUUCGGAUCGUAAAACUCUGUCCUUGGUGAAGAAAGAAAUGACGGUAGCCAAGGAGGAAGCCCCGGCUAACUACGUGCCAGCAGCCGCGGUAAUACGUAGGGGGCGAGCGUUGUCCGGAUUUACUGGGCGUAAAGGGUGAGUAGGCGGUUAUAUGUGUCAGAUGUAAAAGGCUAAGGCUUAACCAUAGUUAGCAUUUGAAACUGUAUGACUUGAGUGCAGGAGAGGUAAGUGGAAUUCCUAGUGUAGCGGUGAAAUGCGUAGAUAUUAGGAGGAACACCAGUGGCGAAGGCGACUUACUGGUCUGUAACUGACGCUGAGUCACGAAAGCGUGGGUAGCAAACAGG